AGCCUCCGUUCCUGCUCUCGGUCUCUUGCUGUUAUUGUUUAACCUUCUCGGCACAAGGGAAGCCAGAGGCAGAGGGAGUCAGCCACAAAACCUGCCCGUCUCAGUGCCUGGCCUGUCAUUGAAGAGUCCUCUCCCAGGUGGCCGUGCCACAUCUCCAGCUUGUCUCUCAGGAGACCUUCUCCAGGGCCCUGCCUGUCCACACAUAGGACUCACCACUCCCUGGGCGAGCCUGGGCCCUUCCCCACCCAUCCUGUGCUUUGAUUCCCCAGGGGCGGUGCCCUUGCCGGACUCUUCAUGGACUAAAUCCCACUCGUCCUGCAAAACCUGGCAAAAUUCAAGGCCACUGGAGGAGCUCUUCCUUUGAGACUCUCCAGCAGGACUUGCCGCCUCUGCGCGGGGUGUGUAGCAAGCCCUGCUUGCCAUUGCCACUCCGUUGCUGCAGAACGAGUGGGAUUUGGUCUCUUUCGUGACUUC
rnacentral:lncRNA from 1 species